AUUUGUUCAAGAAACUUGGAAAGAUACAAAUGCAUUGCAGCCUAUUCUUUCCUUGGCUUCCGCAUAUAAAUCUAGCGUACCGCGACCCUAAAUAGCGCUCCAACCAAGUCCACCCUGCGUACCCCAUACGUAGGAAAGUAGGGGUCCUGUAACCAUACCCGUCGCAUGAACCAAACCAAACUACGAGCUAGGUAACUCAGGACGCGAUAUACAUGUUAAGAAUAGAUAAAAUAGCUAAAGGUUCUCCACUGGAUGGAAGGAGAAGCAUGCACUCUAUAUGUUACAAUUUAAUGAGAGCCAGUAAUUGAAUAAAUCAGUUAAAACCCUUUAGCAAAAUCAAUUACAUCAAUUGAAAUUGACAAGAGCUACCAUGAUUUUAAAACCCUACAAAGCAAAUUAAGCAACCAAGAUAUCCAUAAUAACAACCAUAUAAUCAUCCGAGAGGAUAAAAUAUAAUGAAAACCAUAAAAACAAAAACAAGGAUUCAAUACAUACCUUAGCUCUCAUCUUGGUUCAAGCGAUAAGGAUCUGCGUGUCUCACUCUGUUCGGCGACUUCCAGCAAAUGAACCAGAUUUUCUAUUCCAAGUUUAUC
rnacentral:misc_RNA from 1 species